rnacentral:misc_RNA from 1 species
AAAGUCGUAACAAGGUUUCCGUAGGUGAACCUGCGGAAGGAUCAUUACCUUUCAAUGCAGAAAAAUAGGGGGGGUGAGUUACUACAAUUCCCCCCUUUAUUUUUCCUGUAUUAUACCCUUGUCUCUCAAAUACUAUUUGUUUCCUCGGCAGGCUUGCCUGCCGGCUGGAUAAAAUAUAACCUUUUUAAUUUUCAAUCAGCGUCUGAAAAAAUUAAUAAUUACAACUUUCAACAACGGAUCUCUUGGUUCUG